UACAGAGGUCUCAAGCGUUGUUCGGAUUCAUUGGGCGUAAAGGGUGCGUAGGCGGCGCGGUAAGUCGGGUGUGAAAUCUCGGAGCUUAACUCCGAAACUGCAUUCGAUACUGCCGUGCUUGAGGACUGGAGAGGAGACUGGAAUUUACGGUGUAGCGGUGAAAUGCGUAGAUAUCGUGAAGGAAGACCAGUGGCGAAGGUCGGGUC
rnacentral:rRNA from 1 species